rnacentral:rRNA from 1 species
GUAGUCUCGCACAGAUGCAUAUCAAUAAGCGGAGGAAAAGAAACUAACAAGGAUUCCCCUAGUAACGGCGAGUGAAGCGGGAAGAGCUCAAAUUUGAAAUCUUAAAGGGUUUCCCUUUACGAAUUGUAGUUUAAAGAAGUGUUUUCUGUUGAGGUUUUGGUAAAAGUUCUUUGGAAUAGGACAUCAUAGAGGGUGAGAAUCCCGUAUUUGACCUUUACUUUCAACUUUGUGAUACACUUUCAAAGAGUCGGAUUGUUUGGGAAUGCAGUCCAAAAUGGGUGGUAAAUUUCAUCUAAAGCUAAAUAUUGGCGAGAGACCGAUAGCGAACAAGUACCGUGAGGGAAAGAUGAAAAGAACUUUGAAAAGAGAGUUAAACAGUACGUGAAAUUGUCAAAAGGGAAGCGUUUGACACCAGUGUUGUUUUUCUGAAAAUCAAUUAAAGAACUGUUUAUGCUAAGUUGUUUAGACUUUAUCAGCUAACUGUUUAGUUUUGAGCUUUUCUUUAAUGCACUUUUCAGUUAACAAGUCAACAUCAAUUUCUUUUGCUGUAAAAAAGCUUGAGGAAGGUGGCUUGAGAUUCGUCCUUAAGUGUUUAUAGCCUCUUGCCUAUGCAGUCGGAGAGAUUGAGGUCUGCAGCGUAGAUCCUUCGGGGCUAAAUACAUUUGUGCUAAGUUAUAGCAUUUUAUAGACAACUUGUUGACUAUGAUUUGUCUUGUAGCUUACUCGCUUAUGUUAUUUUACCUACGCUUAGGAUGUUGACGCAUGAGAUAUACGC